AGCGAACGCUGGCGGCAGGCUUAACACAUGCAAGUCGAGCGGGCACCUUCGGGUGUCAGCGGCAGACGGGUGAGUAACACGUGGGAACGUACCUUUCGGUUCGGGAUAACCCAGGGAAACUUGGGCUAAUACCGGAUACGUCCUGAGGGAGAAAGAUUUAUUGCCGAGAGAUCGGCCCGCGUCUGAUUAGCUAGUUGGUAGGGUAAUGGCCUACCAAGGCGACGAUCAGUAGCUGGUCUGAGAGGAUGAUCAGCCACACUGGGACUGAGACACGGCCCAGACUCCUACGGGAGGCAGCAGUGGGGAAUAUUGGACAAUGGGCGCAAGCCUGAUCCAGCCAUGCCGCGUGAGUGAUGAAGGCCCUAGGGUUGUAAAGCUCUUUC
rnacentral:rRNA from 1 species